UCGACAGCUAAUAAAACACUGGUUGUUAUUGAAACACUGUUGUUUCAUAUUCUACACUGAGCCAAUUAAUCCGAUUAUCCUUAUCUGAAAAAUCAUAUACCUGCUUCGGAAUUCAGAUUUGAUAGGUUUUAUUAAUGUCCAAUGAUGACAAUGAUAACAAUAUGGAAGCAAUUUGAAUUCUACAUAAAACUUAUUGGACACCAUUAUCCAUUCUGUCAUUACAAAAUCAUAUACAUGGUAUCUGAUUGUGUAAUGUGAAAAACAUCAGUUUUCAUUUAGCUACAAGAUGGCGUGUCCGCUGCACAAUUUGCUUGUUAAUUUCGGUUUCUAGACGAAUUGUUGGAAAUUUUUCAAAGAUCUUAUCAAAGGUAAGCUGUAGAAAUCAGUUAUUUUCGAUUAUACUGCUAUUUUAUUAAUAUAUUUCAGAAUAUGGAACCUCCCUUCAUGAGCCUCUGUCUUGGUCGUUGAAGAGAUUUGCUUCAAAUUCCAUGCAACUAUAAACCUUCGAUGUUCUGCCUGACGUUAUCGAAAAAUUGUUCACCAACUAUGCUGCAACAAAAUUCCCUCUGAAUUGUUGAAACAGACGUAGAUGAAUAUCUUCAAUA